rnacentral:tRNA from 1 species
GUAAAUGAGGGUAAAUAAUGUUUUAUGGCCUCUCACGCCAGAGACACGGGUUCGAUUCCCGUUGGGACUACCA